GGUGACGGCGUGCUUUUUGUAGAACGAUCCAGCGAGUUAAUUUUUACGGCGAGGUUAAGUCAGAUGAUGAAGCCAUAGUGAAAGCGAGCAUUAACAGUGCGAUUUAGUCGUAAGGAUUAGACCCGAAACCAGGUGACCUAACCAUGAGCAGGUUGAAGCAACCUUAAUCGGUUGUGGAGGACCGAACCAGUGUAUAUUGCAAAAUGCUUGGAUGACUUGUGGUUAGCGGUGAAAUGCCAAUCGAACUUGGAGAUAGCUGGUUCUCCGCGAAAUAGUUAUAGGACUAGCGUCGUGUGAUAGCUUACGGGGGUAGAGCUCUGUCAAGAGAUAGGGGGAGCAAUCCUACCUACUCUUAAUAAACUACGAAUACCGUAUGUCUGUAUCACGGCAGUUAGAACGUCGGUGCUAAGAUCGGCGCUCAAAAGGGAAACAGCCCAGACCAUCAUCUAAGGUCCCCAAAUUUACGCUAAGUGGGAAACAAGGUGGAAUUUCUUAAACAGCUAGGAUGUUGGCUUAGAAGCAGCCAUUCAUUUAAAGAGUGCGUAACAGCUCACUAGUCAAGAGAUUCUGCGUGGAAGAUAUAACGGGGCUAAGCGUAAUACCGAAGAUAUGGAUUGCAAUUUAUUGCAGUGGUAGCGGAGCGUUCCUAUCGGCAGUGAAGCCGGACUGUUAAGUACCGGUGGAGCGUUAGGAAGUGAGAAUGCUGGAACGAGUAACCAUAAGACAGGUGAGAAUCCUGUCGGCCGAAAGAGCGAGGUUUCCUGGGCUAUGGUAAUCAUCCCAGGGUUAGUCGGGCCUAAGCCGAGGCGUUUAGCGUAGGCGAUGGACAUCAGGUUAAUAUUCCUGAACUAGUCAAACUUUGUAUGCAGUUAGCGAUGAGAUAGGUGGAGCGGAUUCAUGGUUUAUCCGUUCAAGUGAUAGAGGAAUCUUGAUCGAGUAAAAGUGAACCUACGGGUUUACGAUUCCGCUGAAGGCAUUGACCAGAAAAGCUGGCAUACGCAUGGGUUUGGCUACCCGUACCGCAAACCGACACAGGUGCUCGAGUCGAGGAGACUAAGGCUUACGAGAGAAUGAUUGCUAAGGAACUCGGCAACACAGCGACCGUAACUUCGGAAUAAGGUCUGCCUACAUUUGUAGGCCGCAGCUAAAGAGCCCACGGAACUGUUUAUCAAAAACUCAGGUCUCUGCUAACACGAAAGUGGAUGUAUAGGGGCUGAAACCUGCCCGGUGCCGGAAGGUUAAGGGGAUUGCUUCACGGUGAGAACUGAAGCCCCGGUGAACGGCGGCGGUAACUAUAACCGUCCUAAGGUAGCGAAAUUCCUUGUCAGGUAAGUUCUGACCCGCACGAAUGGUUAAAUCAUGUGGGCACUGUCUCAGCAAUUAUCUCGGUGAAAAUGCAUUGGCGGUAAAGAUGCCGUCUGUCCGCACCAGGACGAAAAGACCCCGUGGAGCUUCACUACAGCUUUACAUUGUUGUGGGUUCUAACUUGUGUAGUAUAGGUGGGAGACUUUGAAGCAGAUACGCUAGUAUUUGUGGAGUCAUCAGUGAAAUACCACCCCCGUUAGGAUCUGCAUCUAACCUGUGCCGUUAUCCGGUAUAGGGACCGUGUAUGGUUGGUAGUUUAACUGGGGCGGUUGCCUCCUAAAGAGUAGCGGAGGCGUUCAAAGGUUGGCUAGCUACGGAUGGAAAUCGUAGUGGUAGUGUAUACGCAUAAGCCAGCUUGACUGUGAGGAGUACAUUCCGAUCAGAUGCGAAAGCAGGAGUAAGUGAUCCGCUGGACGAACCAUUGGUUCAUGAAUGUGGGAUUGCCAGCGCAAACGGACAAAAGUUACCCCGGGGAUAACAGGCUGAUAGCGCCCAAUAGUUCACAUAGACGGCGCUGUUUGGCACCUCGAUGUCGGCUCAUCACAUCCUGGGGCUGGAGCAGGUCCCAAGGGUCCGGCUGUUCGCCGGUUAAAGUGGUACGCGAGCUGGGUUCAGAACGUCGCGAGACAGUUCGGUUUAUAUCCGGUGUGGACGUCAGGAAACUUGCGAGGAUUUGCCCCUAGUACGAGAGGACCGGGGUGAACGCACCUCUGGUGUAUCGGUUGUGACCACCUGUCGCAUUGCCGAGUAGCUAUGUGCGGAGCAGAUAAGCGCUGAAAGCAUAUUAAGCGCGAAACUGACCUCAAGAUUAGGUUUCCCUAUGAGGACACUAAUAGACGAUUAGUUUGAUAGGCACAAGGUGGAAGCACAGUAAUGUGUGGAGCUGAAGUGUACUAAUAGUCCCACUGCCUUUUUAUG
rnacentral:rRNA from 1 species